UACACUCCUGCGGGAGGCAGCAGUGGGGAAUAUUGGACAAUGGGCGCAAGCCUGAUCCAGCCAUGCCGCGUGAGUGAUGAAGGCCCUAGGGUUGUAAAGCUCUUUCACCGGUGAAGAUAAUGACGGUAACCGGAGAAGAAGCCCCGGCUAACUUCGUGCCAGCAGCCGCGGUAAUACGAAGGGGGCUAGCGUUGUUCGGAUUUACUGGGCGUAAAGCGCACGUAGGCGGACUAUUAAGUCAGGGGUGAAAUCCCGGGGCUCAACCCCGGAACUGCCUUUGAUACUGGUAGUCUUGAGUUCGAGAGAGGUGAGUGGAAUUCCGAGUGUAGAGGUGAAAUUCGUAGAUAUUCGGAGGAACACCAGUGGCGAAGGCGGCUCACUGGCUCGAUACUGACGCUGAGGUGCGAAAGCGUGGGGAGCAAACAGGAUUAGAUACCCGUGUAGUCCC
rnacentral:rRNA from 1 species